CUGAGCCCUGGCAGAUGGUUUUCUGGCCUCCUCAGGUUUCCAGCUCUCCCAGCUGCCUCCGGAGGCAAGUCUGGGGCAGGAGGAGUUUGGAGAAGCUGGCUGGGGGGAGACCUCUGCUCCUCGGCUGCAGCGGUGGACUCGCCUGCGCCGUGGCGGCCCUGUUCAUGGACACGUUCACAGGCAUGUUCAACAUCCCUAGAGUGGCGAGAAGAGUUAUUCCACAUUUCCAGUGAGGAGGCCCAGGCUCAGAGAAGGGCCCUGCCCAUUGCCUUCCGCCUCCCGCCAUGAUGCUGAGGCCUCCCCAGCCACGUGGAACUGUAAGUCCGAUUAAACCUCGUUUUGUUCCCAGUUUUGGGUAUGUCUUUAUCAGCAGCAUGAAAAUGGGCUAAUAUAGGAAACAAAGUGCCUGGCCUGCAGUAACCAUUCAAUCCGCAGGAAUUACCAGGCUUGCUUGUGUUUAGAAUUGCUGGGAUGGCAGCGUGGUUAAGAGCUUGAAUUCUGGAUUUGGACUCCCUGGGUUCUAAUGCUGGAAUUACCUCAUGUUAGGUGGGAAUUUCCAAAAAUUUCACGUAAACUCUCUGAGCCUUAGUUUCUUCAUCUGUAAAGUGGGGUUGAUACACCUCCCCUCUGGGGCCAGGUAAGGAUUGAGUCCAGUAAUUGGUAUAAGCAUCAAUUCUGACAUACAUACAGUAAGUGCUCAAUACAUGCUUGCUGCAUUGAUUCUGAAAUACAUACAGUAAGUGCUCAAUACAUGCUUGCUGCAUCGAUUCUGAAAUACAUACAGUAAGUGCUCAAUACAUGCUUGCUGUCAUGCUUCAUCUCCCACUUCUGCGUUUACUGUCAUACCUCUUCCAUCACCCAACACCUGGAUGGUGGAUGCCUGGGUGACCUCACAGGACCUGUGGCCCCC
rnacentral:lncRNA from 10 species